rnacentral:rRNA from 1 species
CAGUAGCGUAUAUUAAUGUUGUUGCUGUUAAAAAGCUCGUAGUUGGAUGUUUGAGUGUGGUGUGUGUGCGUUCUUUGUUUGUUGGGGAAACUUUCCUCAGCGGAGAUUGUGACGCUACUUUCGCACGCCCGCCAUGUUUGUGUUUUUGUGCGUCGAAAGACGCGCGGAGGCACUCCCUUACUGUGAAAAAAUUAGAGUGCUCCAAGCAGGCAAAGAUAGCCAGAAUAGUCCAGCAUGGAAUGACAACGUGGACUGAUGUUUUUUCUUCUUCGGAAGAAAACCGCGCGUUGCUUUUUGGGACACGCGCGCACUCUGUGUGUGUGUGUCUCGCGUCAUCAGUAAUUCUUGAUAGGAAAGCGCGGGGGUGCUUGUAUGUCGCGGCCAGAGGUGAAAUUCUUGGAUUCGCGACCGACAAACUUGUGCGAAAGCGUUCACCAAGUGCUUGUCCUUUGA